CAUCUCAGUACCCGGAGGAACAGAAAUCAACGAGAUUCCCUCAGUAGCGGCGAGCGAACGGGGAACAGCCCAAACCAGCGGUGACUGAGUGGUCUGUCGACCUAUGUCCUGCUGGGGUUGUAGGACCCGGCCGCGGGCGCGACAGAGCCCGCAGAGAGUGAGCAAUCCUGUCGUCUAGCAGAAGGUCCCUGGAACGGGCCGCCAAAGACGGUGACAGCCCGGUACGCGAAAGACGCAGGACUCUCGUCGGUGUUCCUGAGUACCACGGGACACGUGUAACCCCGUGGGAAGCUGGGGGGACCAUCCUCCAAGGCUAAAUACCUGUGAUGACCGAUAGUGAACCAGUACCGUGAGGGAAAGGUGAAAAGCACCCCGGGAGGGGAAUGAAAAGUCCCUGAAACCGCGCGCCUACAAACCGUCGGAGCUCCACCUUCGGGUGGGGUGACGGCGUGCCUAUUGAAGAAUGAGCCGGCGACUUACUCUCAGUAGCAAGGUUAAGCCAGGGACCUGGUGGAGCCGCAGCGAAAGCGAGUCCGAACAGGGCGACGAGUUGCUGGGAGUAGACCCGAAACCUGGUGAUCUACCCAUGGCCAGGGUGAAGCUCGGAUAACAUCCGAGUGAAGGCCCGAACCCAUCAGUGAUGCAAAACUGUGGGAUGAGCUGUGGGUAGCGGUGAAAUGCCAAUCGAACCAGGAGAUAGCUGGUUCUCCCCGAAAUGUCUUUAGGGACAGCCUCGGGGGAUGUGCGCUGGAGGUAGGGCUCUGGAUGGGCUAGGGGGCGAGCAGCUUACCGAUCCCAACCAAACCGCGAAUGCCAGCGUAUGCACCCCGGGAGUGAGCCCGUGGGGGAUAAUCUUCACGGACAAAAGGGAAACAACCCAGACCAUCGGCUAAGGUCCCCAAGUAGAGACUCAGUGGGCAAGGAUGUUGAGUCGCAGAAACAGCCAGGAGGUUGGCUUAGAAGCAGCCACCCUUUAAAGAGUGCGUAAUAGCUCACUGGUCGAGUGGCUCUGCGCCGACAAUGUACCGGGGCUAAGUCUCUCACCGAAGCCAUGGCUCGUCCUGACGCGUGUCGGGGCGGGGGUAGGGGAGCGUUCCGUCCAGCAGUGAAGUCGCGUCGGAAGGCGCGGUGGAGCGUUCGGAAGUGCGAAUGCCGGCAUGAGUAGCGUCAAUGCCGAUGAGAACUCGGCACACCGGAAACCUAAGGUUUCCUACGGAAGGUCACUCCGCGUAGGGUUAGUCGGGCCUAAGCCGAGGGCGAAAGCCGUAGGCGAUGGACAGCUGGUUAGUAUUCCAGCACCACUUGCGGAGCGUUAUCAGCACAGGGGUGACCCAGGAGGAUAGACGGAGCGGGCCCAUUGGACAUGGCCCGUCCCUGACUCGUAGGCGUCUGGUGGGAGGCAAAUCCCCCACCAGGUUAAGCGGAGGAGUCGGGGCGAGUAGAGACGCCAGUCAACGCGAGUCCGUCGAGUCCAUGCUGGCAAGAAAAGCCUCGGUGUGAGCUCCUCAGGUGCCCGUACCGUAAACCGCCACUGGUAGGUAGGGGUAAGUACCCCGAGGUGUACGAGAGAACCCUCGUUAAGGAACUCGGCAAAAUGACCCCGUAACUUCGGGAGAAGGGGUGNNNNNNNNNNCGGAACCGUGAACGGCCUCGCGCCGGGAGCGGACGCCGGGCUGCAGGAACAGGCCUGGGCGACUGUUUACCAAAAACACAGGUCUCUGCGAACCCGUAAGGGGAUGUAUAGGGGCUGACGCCUGCCCAGUGCCGGAAGGUUAAGGGGACCCGUGCAAGCGGGAAACCGAAGCCCCGGUGAACGGCGGCCGUAACUAUAACGGUCCUAAGGUAGCGAAAUUCCUUGUCGGCCAAAUACCGACCCGCACGAAUGGCGUAACGACUUGGGCGCUGUCUCAACGAGGGACUCGGCGAAAUUGCAAGACGCGUGAAGAUGCGCGUUACCCGCGCCAGGACAAGAAGACCCCGUGGAGCUUUACUGCAACUUGGCAUUGAAGGUGGAUCAGGGAUGCGUAGGAUAGGUGGGAGGCGAUGAACCCAGGCUUCCGGGCUUGGGGGAGCCGUCCUUGAAAUACCACUCUUCUCUGGUUUGCCUUCUAACCUCUGAGCAAGCAGAGGGACCAUGCCUGGUGGGCAGUUUGACUGGGGCGGUCGCCUC
rnacentral:rRNA from 1 species